rnacentral:rRNA from 1 species
GAAUUCUCAACAUGAGAGUUUGAUCCUGGCUCAGAACGAACGCUGGCGGCAGGCUUAACACAUGCAAGUCGAGCGCCCCGCAAGGGGAGCGGCAGACGGGUG